CAGCAGCCGCGGUAAAACGGAGGGAGCUAGCGUUAUUCGGAAUUACUGGGCGUAAAGCGCACGUAGGCGGCUUUGUAAGUAAGAGGUGAAAGCCCGGAGCUCAACUCCGGAACUGCCUUUUAGACUGCAUCGCUUGAAUCCAGGAGAGGUGAGUGGAAUUCCGAGUGUAGAGGUGAAAUUCGUAGAUAUUCGGAAGAACACCAGUGGCGAAGGCGGCUCACUGGACUGGUAUUGACGCUGAGGUGCGAAAGCGUGGGGAGCAAACAGGAUUAGAUACCCCCGUAGUCCCUGUCUCUUAUAC
rnacentral:rRNA from 1 species